AUGCUUAGGGUUAGGGACUUAGGGUUUGUCUAAAGCGCCGCUGAGCUCUCUUCCCAUCUUCCCUCAGUGUCCCUCUCGGCCUCUCCCCUCUCCGCUCCUCCGCCUCCGCCCAUCUCCUCCGGUCCUCCCCCUUCCGAUUACUUCCUCCUCCCCGUCAAUGGCGACUGUGGCUACAUCACACCCCCCUAACCCCUGUUUCCUUUUACCCCAUGAUAACAAAAUAAAAGAAAAGAAGAAAAGGAAGAAGAUCUCAUCUAUUCCCUCUCCCUGGGAUUUCUUUGGCUCUCGUCGCCUUCCCUCUCCCUCUUCUGUUCGAAGUCUUCCGUGCGUGCGAGCUAUUUAGGGUUCGGG
rnacentral:lncRNA from 1 species